rnacentral:lncRNA from 1 species
UGGAGUGGGUUUCAAGGAAACGGAUGGGAAGGUCAUAAGUUCAUGAGGAGACUUCAAUAUGUUAAAGCUAAAUUGAAGGAGUGGAAUAAGUUUUCUUUUGGAGAGCUUAAAGAAAAGAAAAAAAGUAUUCUCAAUGAUUUAGCUAACUUUGACGCCAUUGAGCAGGAAGGGGGUCUCAAUCCUGAUUUGUUAAGCCAAAGAGACUCAAGAAAAGGGGAGCUAGAGGAAUUAAUAUUGAGGGAGGAAAUUCAUUGGAGACAAAAAGCCAAAGUGAAAUGGGUCAAGGAAGGGGAUUGCAACUCUAAGUUUUAUCAUAAAGUGGCUAAUGGCAGGCGAAAUAGGAAAUAUAUCAAGGAGUUGGAGAAUGAGAGGGGCUUAGUGCUAAAGAAUGCCGAGAGUAUCACAGAGGAGAUUUUACAUUACUUUGAGAAGCUUUACACAAAUCCUACAGGAGAGUCUUGGGGUGUUGAAGGAUUAGAUUGGUCCCCUAUUUCGGAAGAGAGCGCGUUAAGGUUAGACUCCCCUUUCACCGAAAAAGAGAUUUCUAAGGCCAUUUUUCAGUUGGAUAGGGACAAGGCUCCGGGGCCAGAUGGCUUUACUAUUUCCGUAUUCCAAGCGUGUUGGGAUGUGAUUAAGGAGGAUUUGGUGAGAGUGUUCGCUAAAUUUCAUAGGAGCGGAAUUAUCAAUCAAAGCACUAAUGCCUUUUUCAUUAUUCUAAUACCCAAAAAGAGUUUGUCAAAGAGAAUAUCAGACUUUAGACCCAUUAGUUUGAUCACUAGUCUCUACAAGAUAAUAGCCAAAGUGUUCUCUGGGCGUCUAAGAGGGGUUUUACAUGAGACCAUCCACUAUACUCAAGGCGCUUUUGUUCAAGAGAGACAAAUAUUGGACGCGGUUCUUAUAGCGAAUGAGAUAGUGGACGAGAGAAGAAGGUCAGGGGAGGAAGGCGUUGUAUUCAAAAUAGACUUUGAAAAGGCAUACGAUCACGUGAAGUGGGAUUUUUUGGAUCAUGUGUUAGAAAAGAAGGGGUUCAGUCCUAGAUGGAGGAAAUGGAUGAGUGGAUGUUUAUCUUCAGUAUCUUAUGCAAUCUUGGUGAAUGGUAGUGCUAAAGGGUGGGUUAAGGCAUCAAGG